UGGGGAAUAUUGGACAAUGGGCGCAAGCCUGAUCCAGCCAUGCCGCGUGAGUGAUGAAGGCCCUAGGGUUGUAAAGCUCUUUCACCGGUGAAGAUAAUGACGGUAACCGGAGAAGAAGCCCCGGCUAACUUCGUGCCAGCAGCCGCGGUAAUACGAAGGGGGCUAGCGUUGUUCGGAUUUACUGGGCGUAAAGCGCACGUAGGUGGACUUUUAAGUCAGGGGUGAAAUCCCGGGGCUCAACCCCGGAACUGCCUUUGAUACUGGAAGUCUUGAGUAUGGUAGAGGUGAGUGGAAUUCCGAGUGUAGAGGUGAAAUUCGUAGAUAUUCGGAGGAACACCAGUGGCGAAGGCGGCUCACUGGACCAUUACUGACGCUGAGGUGCGAAAGCGUGGGGAGCAAACAGG
rnacentral:rRNA from 1 species